rnacentral:tRNA from 1 species
UACAUCUUGGUGUAUGGCGCACGGUGGCUUUUGAUGCUUGAUAGUGAUAGUUUGAUUCUGUCGGAUGUAA